rnacentral:rRNA from 1 species
AUCGAACGCUGGCGGCAGGCCUAACACAUGCAAGUCGAACGAGUGGCGGACGGGUGAGUAAUGUCUGGGAAACUGCCUGAUGGAGGGGGAUAACUACUGGAAACGGUAGCUAAUACCGCAUACCAUCAGAUGGGCCCAGAUGGGAUUAGCGAGUUGGUGGGGUAACGGCUCACCAAGGCGAAGAUCCCUAGCUGGUCUGAGAGGAUGACCAGCCACACUGUGACUGAGACACGGUCCAGACUCCGACGGGAGGCAGCAGGGGGGAAUAUUGCACAAUGGACGAAAGCCUGACUGAGCCAUGCCGCGUGUAUGAAGAAGGCUUUCGGGGUGUAAAGCUCUGUCGUCGGGGAGGCGGUACCCGCAGAAGAAGCAACGGCUAACUCCGUGCCAGCCGCCGCGGUAAUAC